UUGAAAAUUUUUGUGUGACUUUUCAAAAAAUCAUGUUAUUUGUUGAGAAAUUUUGAAAAUAAUUCAAAAAAAAAAAAAAUGUCCAUUUUUGAAAUUGUUAAACUAUAAAUUUUUGAACUUUGGAAACAAUUUUUCCAUAUGAAUAUGAGAUAACUUUUUGUGGAUCAGGAACAAUUUGAUAAAUAUUAAAAAAACAAAAAUGCAAUCUAUUGGAUGUACAAAGGAGGAUAAUUGUAAAAAAGAUGCCAUUUUAAAAGCACAAGCAAAAGCUAAAAAGGAGAAAAAUUUAAAAAAAUCUACAACCAAAAAUAUUCCACCAAAAUCGAAAAAUUCAAAAUUAUCAGAAAAAUCAAAAAUAGCAUUUGCAGUAGAGCCAUCAUUAUCAUUAGAGCAAUCUAAUAUAAAUCAACUCAAU